rnacentral:rRNA from 1 species
GGACUACUCGGGUAUCUAAUCCUGUUUGCUCCCCACGCUUUCGCGCCUCAGCGUCAGUUACGGUCCAGAGAGCCGCCUUCGCCACCGGUGUUCUUCCCAAUAUCUACGAAUUUCACCUCUACACUGGGAAUUCCACUCUCCUCUCCCGUACUCAAGCACCAGAGUAUCAAGCGCACCUCCCAGGUUGAGCCCGGGGCUUUCACGCCUGACUUCUCGCGCCGCCUGCGCGCCCUUUACGCCCAGUAAUUCCGAACAACGCUCGCCCCCUUCGUAUUACCGCGGCGGCUGGCAC